rnacentral:misc_RNA from 1 species
UCAAUUUUAGUUGUUGGAGCGGGAGGGUUGGGUUCGCCAGCUUUAUUGUAUCUUGCAGCUUCUGGUGUUGGUUGUCUGGGAAUUGUUGACCAUGAUGUAGUUGAGCUAAAUAACAUGCAUCGACAGAUCAUCCAUACUGAGGCAUAUAUUGGCCGGUCGAAAGUAGAAUCUGCUGCUGCUACAUGUCGCUCGAUCAACUCUACUGUUGAGAUUG